rnacentral:lncRNA from 1 species
CCUGGACUCAAGUGAUCCUCCCACCUUAGCCUCCCAAAGCACUGAGAUUACAGGCAUGAGCCACUGAGCCCUGCCAAAAUUCCUAAUAAUUUUUGAACAAGGGGCCACACAUUUCAUUUGGCACUGGGCCUCCCAAACUGUGUAGCCUGGUCCUGAUGCCAUGACAGGAGGUUUGCCUUGUGGGUCACAGGAGGAACACUCUGCCUUCCAGAACCCCUGAGAUCAGGGGGGGCAGGUUAACAUGAGGACGGGUCCUUUGGAUAACUGGCUGAGCCUCCCCAGGUGAGAGUUCCACACCAAGGACUUAGGACUAGGCCUAGGACUAAAAUGGUAAUUAGUACGAGAGCUGUGCUUAUUAUUAAUUUGAGGUUGUUUGUUUGGAAAGCUCAUGGUAAAGGCAACAGUAGGGCGAUGUCUAGAUCAAAGAAGAGGAAUGUAAUGGCCACCAGGAAAAACUUUAUAGAAAAGGGGGGUUGCCUGGAUUAUCUGGCACUGCCCCAGGAAAAGCUUGGGAGCAGAUGGCUCUCCCACCCCCACUCAGAGUAGACGACAACUCCUUGGGCUGCCCAGACUGAGGGAAAUGUCACUUAAGAGUGGCCAGGCCUCUCUGCUUGGAUUCUAUGCUCCAGGGGGGCGCCCAGUGAUCCCAUUUCCCGGCCCUCACAGCCUGCUCUUGGAGUGUGGACUCAACUCAGUAAAUACAGCCACAGUGAUGGGAUGUCACUUCUGAGGUUAGGUUAUAAAGGACACAGCAGCUUCUGUUUUAGUGGCACUGUCACUUGCUCAUUACCAAAUCACUUACUCUGGGGAGUCAACUGCCCUGGAGACACCUAUGUGGAGUCUGGAGGUGGCUGGGGGUCCUUGGGGGCCCUAGCCAACAGCCAUCCUGGAACUGAGGACACCAGCCACCAGCCAUGGGAGUUCCCCAUCUUAGAAAUGGAUCCUCCGGCCUUCCGGGAUUUCAAUGAUGCAGAUCUAGCCAACGACUUGACUGCAGCCUCGCAGGAGAGUCCGAGCCAGAGGUACCAGCUAAGCUGGGCUUCCGACCCUCAGAAAUUGUGUAAGAUCAUAAAGCUGUUGUAAGCUGCUAGGUUUUGGGGUACUCACUAUGGGUCCAUAGGUAAUGCAUCAGCCUCCAAUUUCUCACUGCCCUACCCCCACCCCCAGCGGUCCUGAGCCCCUAGAAGAAGAGCCGGGACGUGAUCCACGUGGUCACUCCAGCAUGGCCAAGCACAGGCAAGCAUCUGCAGACUUCUGGAAGGAAUUGCGGCGAAGCAUCUUCGAAGGAUGUUAGAGGCCCCCAGGUGAAGAUAGAACCAGAGGAUAGGAUUUGCUUCAGUAAAGGUGAUUGGGAUCAUUGUUUUCUUCUUCAGGUGCUCUGGCCAGGGAAAAGAUGAAAUUCACACCUGUUAUAUUCACUUAUCAGCUUAAUUCUCUCCAGCAAAGAAGAACGUAGCUCCUGACUGGCUGCCACAUAUGUGUCUGAGCAGCGAGUUCCAGGGACCUUCUCAGUGAUGCCGAUGGCCUCUCCAGGCAAAUAGCGCAGGCCUGGCCGGUAUCCAGAAGGAACUCCAGGCUGCCUCUCCUUCCCGGACGCACACCCUCCCCUGGGGAAAGACCCCAGACAGAGCCCGCGGGGCCUACAAAUAGCAGAGUCCCUGGCUCUGAGCACAGGCAACGGAGAGGGGACGGGAAACGGGACUCGGGCGCCAAGUCACUCCCCUGCCUCGCCCUGGCGGAAGGGCAGGCGUCACACCUCUAGGAGGAAGGCAGAUGUGAGAGGGCUGAGCCCUUCCGGGGGCUCAGAGGAUCAAAGGCACUGACAUCCUAAGAGAAUUGGAAACCAGAAACAGGGCCGGGCGCGGUAGCGCACGCCUGUAAUCCCAGCACUUUGGGAGGCCGAGGCGGGCGGAUCACGACAGAGCGAGACUCCGUAUCAAAAAAAAAAAAAAGAAAAAACAAAAUAGAAACCGGAAACAGGAUGAGCUGGGUCUGCAGAAGCGGCGUGUGGGACCCAUUCCCCGCAAGGGCUUUGUGGAUAGGAACCCAGCACAGACUUCCCUCUUAUCAACAGGACCGAGGCAUGAGAACACGAGGGUCAGCCUGGGCUCCCUGACCGCAGUCUCCUCAGAAGGGAGUCUGGACAGCGAGUCUUGCCUCUGCUGCUCCUCUGGGGCCUCCUGAUGCCUGGCAGGGAGAGGAGCCACCGUGUGAGGGUUUCUGAAAUUAAACUGUUCUCAGAGUCGCAGCUGUCAGGAAGGGACAGCAAGAGCCAGCUGACAGGAGCCUGAAUCUUUCCAACGCAAUCCAUCUAGGAUGGGAAAAGAAAGACCAAUUUCCAGCCUUGCCAGACUCCUAGGGAUGGGCUGAGCAUGCAGACUCUGUCACUCACCAGCCGCUGACCUUGGCCAAGCACCUCAUUGUCUCUGAGUCUUGGUUUCCUUAUUCAUAAAACGAUAAAAGUCCUGAUCUCACAAGGCUGAUGUGGGAGCCAGAAAUAGCGAUGCUGUGUGACAGGCCCGCAACCCUUCCAGUUCCUCUCCCUCACCAGCAAGCCAGAGGCCUGUUUUAUUCAGGGUUUCUGGCAGCCACAUGCUUCAGGAGAAGCAGGACUCCCUGGGAGCCUAGCACAGUGUCUUGAUUGGUCUAAGCCAGUCACGGUGACCCAGUGAUUAGUUUAUGAACGGGCGUGUAACUUCAUUCUGACUAACAAGACACGAGAGGAAGUGUCUGGAUGAAUUUGGGGAAAGUUUCCCUUACUCUUAAAAAAAGAGCUAUAAAGAAGGGGCUUUCUCUCUUUCUGACCUUUGGGUGUGGUUGGGUGAGAACAUGAUACUUAGAACUGCUGCAGCCAUAUUGUGACAUAAAGGGAUAAUACCCAACAUAAAAGCCAAGAGGCUAACGAUGGCAGAGUGUCGAGAUGAAAAGAAGCCAAGUCCUUGGUGACAGCCUUGAGCGGUUGAAUUAAUUUCCCUUGGGAUGUCCCCAACUUGAGACAUCUCAUUAAGUGAGAGAAUGCUGUCCCAAGGUCAGAGACACGGGACAGUGGGGGUCAGGGGCAAAGGCUCUAGAGCUUGACUGCCCAAUCCACCACCACUACUACUGAGGACUUUUGGCUUGUUUAUUUUCUCUCUCUUCUCAGUUUCCUCAUCUGUGAAAUGGGGAUGGUGAUAAUAACCGUAUCUGGUUUAUGAGAUCAUUGUGAGGAUUUAAGGGGUUAAUGUGUAGAAAGUAUUCAAAUCGCGUCUGGCACAUGGUAAGUGUCAUGUAAGUGUCAGCUAUGACUAUUGCAAGCCAUUUUGACUUUUUCUGUUAUUUAUAUCUCAAAGUAUCCUCUUAAAG